UUGAAAGGGAAACGAUUGAAGUCAGUCAUGCUGGUGGGGAAUCAACUUAGGGGAAACUCUAGGUGCACUUCUUCGCUUGGGCAGGUUUAACGUCGAUCUUGAAUGCCCAUAAAAAUAAUUGGGGGGAAAGGGUAGCUUCUUUCGGGGAGGUGUUAUUAGCCCCUGAUAGAUGUGAUGUUUGGGGUCGAGGAUUGCAACGGAUACCCUCUGGGGCUAGCCGCCUGAUCUCUAAUCGGUGUUGGGUUACGGAUAGCAUGCUGACCGUGUUCUAAUUACUGGUUAAAAGGUUAGAGCGUGCAUAAAUUCGUUAAGGAUGUUGACGUA
rnacentral:rRNA from 1 species